AACACGUUUCUGCUUCAUGCUUUCUCGUACUACUUAAUAAACAGUCCAUACCCCAUUACACGACUUGGGACGUCAUCCUUAUCCUAGCACUUAGUGGAGGGUAGGGCAUAAACCAUCAACAUAUACUACUGGUAUGGGAUAUGAACUUAACGUGAUCGCUCUUCAUGGACCCAUGACCAGCGGAAUGCUCGCAUGUUAAACGGAUAUGUGAAUGUGACUUUAUCCUUGUUUUCUUUAAAAGCAAAAUGUCCAGCCAGCGCCGUAUAAUUGGCGUCUGUGUAACAGUAAUAGCAGCUUUAAUGUUAUCUCAGAUGAUAUUGUAUUUCGUUUCACAACGUAAUAUUAUAUCGAUGAUCUAUGCAGGCAUAGACGUAAUUCGGGAAUACGAGGAUAGCUUUAACAGCUUAAAUGUGAGUUUUCAUUCAACUGAACAGCAUUCAAAAGCCACAAAAAAGAUUACUAAAAUUUCAGCUACGACGAAGAUACCUUACACCAAGACAACAAAAAAUGGUACUAAAUCGCUUCCUAUGUGUCCUUCAACUCCACCAAACAGAGUUGGCCGUUUAGCCACAUUCAAGAAAAUUCUUUCAUUUGAGCAAUUGGAGAAGGAAUUAUUCAACGUCAAAAAAGGCGGUCGUUACAUUCCUGUCGAAUGUAAAACGGAUCAGAGGGUAGCAGUUAUAAUCCCCUACAGGAACAGGACAGGUCAUCUGAAGAGUGUUUUACAUAAUCUGCACAGCAUGCUGAUGAAACAGCAGAUUGACUACGGAAUCUUCGUUAUUGAGCAGGCAGGAAAUAAUACAUUCAAUAGAGGAGUUUUGCUUAACAUCGGAUAUGCCGAGUCCAUCAAGACCUACAAUUAUACCUGCUUCAUCUUUCAUGACGUUGAUCUUAUCCCUGAGGAUGACCGCAUCUACUACGGUUGUGGUCACAACCCACGCCACCUAGCGGUAGCCAUGAACAAAUACAACUAUAGAGUAGUUUACCCAAAAUAUUUCGGCGGUGUUUCACAGUUGCCCAAAACUGCCAUUCAAAAGAUAAACGGUUGCUCGAACUUAUAUUUCGGAUGGGGAGGCGAGGAUGACGACUUAUACGAAAGAUUGUUAAAGGCCGGUUUUACUAUAGAGCGGUACAGUUUGGAGAUAUCCCGCUACAGAAUGAUCAAACAUACACGUGAAAAGACGAACGCAGUAAAUCCCCAGAGAUUUAAAUUAUUGAAGGGUUGUACAUCCCGAAUGCAAAAAGACGGAUUGAAUAGUUUGAAAUACAAACUGCUUAAAAUUCAGCAUCACAAACUGUACACGAAUAUUUUAGUGGAAGUCAGAAAAGAGGAUUACGGAUUGUAAUAGGUGACCAGACAGCGCGUGCUUACGAUGCAGCCAGGAGUCGAAACAUGAUAUACCAGCGGAAUAGACUACGGCACAGUAAAGAGAAGACACGUCAAAAUCUGGAGCUACAAGCAUUUUGCAAUAUAAAAACGCCUUGUUUAGAGACCAGGCCCCGCUGGUAUAAAGAAAUCUCAACUUGAGAUUUUCUCAAGUUGAGAUUUCCUUAACUGAGAUUUCCUCAAAUGUGACUUGUAUAAAAAUUCCUCAAAUAACUUGAGGUCGUCCUCAGCUGAGGAAAAGUUGAGAUGUUUUUGCGAUGAUGUAAGCGGUCCAACCGAGAACUCUUUUUUAAAAGGAGGUACAUAACCCGUGUAAACAACGCAAACUUUCCCCCGUAAACUGUCAAAGCACGAGAUGGGGUGAGGGUAAUUAGUUGUAUUACGCGAACGUCAGAACGGAUCAUGUCUGAAGUAAACAAAGUAAGAAGUGCGAAUGGGACCGAGAGGGAGAAAGUUGUAGAUCUAUUAAUGGAGAGUAUGCAAAGAGAGGGAGAGUUUGUAAUUUGGAAAAUUAUCUGGGACCGGCGAAAGUGCGGGGAUAUCUAAUAGAUCAAAAGAAAAAGAAUGGAAGGAGGUAACUGCGGCUGUCAAUGCACAAGUCAAAAAGACCUAAAACCGGAGGUGGUCAUGCUGUCCAAGAUACAAACACCAUUGGAAACAAGAAAUAUCUUUUAAAAAGAUAAACGGCAUGGUUUAAAUGCUGGUGGCUAUAAUGUAAAACUGCUGGUGAAAUAAAUUAACGAUAAAAUGCGUUUCAGCAUGGAUAACAGAAUUAUAUCAGUUUGAAUCAUUUUUAAUCAGGAAUUAAAUUUUAUCUAUGUAUCAUUUGAAAAGAUUCAUCUGCUUAUUCAGCUUACAUUCAAUCUUAACUUUGUUUCGUUUUUAACUGCAUAUAUCUGCAAUUUGCAUUUACCGCUACAUCGACCAAUCACAUACUUCAUCUUGACCAGUAACGCCACCUGUCGCGUCAUAUCCGGGGCAAAAAGAAAGUAUAUGGCUAUGCCGAAAAAUCUUUAUAGAGGGUCAUAAUGGCAGGCCAAAUAUUGUGGGGUUAGGGGUAUCUUUAAAUAAAGAAGGUAACAAGGAAGAUAACUAGAUUGCUUGUUUUGAGUUUAUGAAAUAAGAAAACGAGACAAUGAUCAUUUCACUGUGAAAUCUUUAUUUUUUUCAUCUUAUAAAAAAAAAGUACAAUACAUUGGGUCUGUACAAAAUCCUGUCUAGUGAAACUGAUCAUGUCUAAUAUCAUUUCUGUAUAGUAAUAAUUAAUCAUUUGUUGCAAUGUGUGUACCAUAAACUUUAUCUCUCACACACAUACAUGCUCGCAUUUGUAAAUCCAUGGUUGAAUACAAUACAUUUCUUUAUAACAGAAUAUACUUUUUCAUCUUUAUGUAAAUUACUCUUUACCGUGUCAUUCUAGUUGCAUAACAUUUUGUUUUACCACAAGUUCUUAGUAAUUUUAGCGUCAUGAUAGCAGCCUUCAUUGGCUCAACACAUAGUCCAAGUGAUAGACAAGGAAAUAUCAUUUUCAGUAUUCCAAAUGUCUGCUCAAACUUAACUCUGGUCUUACACAAACCAUCGUUAUAUUUGAUUUCUGAUUGGGUAGAUGGAUGGUGGUAUGGUGUCAUCCGAAAAGUUAUGCAUGGAUAUCCAGAGUCACCUAGCAACAUUCAGUUAUGGCUACCUGUAAUAUAAAUAUGCAUAAUUGUUUUAGGUCAGAAUGAAUUUAUACUUAUUUGUGUAUUGCAUGAUUUCACACAGGAAAUCAUUAUUAUAAUUAGCAGUUUAUCAAUUACUAGUUAUAAUAUACCCGGUAUAACAAAUGGUUGAGUAGUGCAAUUACAUAAUUAUAUAGCUUUAUCAAAAUAAUGACAAGAGUGUAAAUUGUGGAAUGAAAGAAAAAAAAAUGAUAAUGAUAUCAGUCACAUGCACUAAGAAAUUACCUACAAUGCAGCUCAUAAGAAUUGGUUUUACUUGUUCAUACAUAUAUGAUGUCAUAUUGUAUGAUAGGAAUGUACUCCUGUACACAGGAAUUUACAAGAAUGUAAUAAUACAGUUUUAUUAUAGGGCAUUUCAAAAUUUCCAUGUUAUUUGCCAUUUUCAAAUUUAAAUCCUGAAAUGUAUGACAAUUUGAUUUAUAAAGUAAAAUGUUUAAAUAGUUAAAGUAUUGGCAUCACAGUAUUUAUAGUAUACACAAAUGUACAUGCACAAUUCUUGUAUCAUAGAUCAUCAUUGAUGUGCAUCUUGUAUUAUGUAUAUGGAUUACAUAACCAUAAUUGAAAAGUAUAUAUGUUUACGUAUGCACUUCUAUAGAAUAUACUAGUUCAUGUGCAUAUCAUGAUUAUAAUGCUUUACUGUGAACAUACCAAGUAUACUAGUAAUUCUUUAUGAGUUUGUUGUUUUUUGUUGACACUUUUUGUGUAUACUAUCUGUGUACAUUUUUGUGUCAAGUAUAUAUAUGCAUAAACUGAAAUCAUAAAUUAUCCUUUGUCCACUUUCAUGUAAUCUUAUAUUAGCUGUUAUGACCUAGCCAAAAUAUAUCUGCAGGCCAAUAUCACAUUUUAACAUGCCUAUUUAUUUAAGCAUGUUUUGGGAAUAGCUAGACUAUAAUUUUGUUUUUGCACAAAAAUAUGUAUUGACUCAUAUUUCAAGGAACAGAGGCCUAUAGGUCAAGCACGAAACAAAAAUAUUGAUUUCAAAUUAUUUUCAAUAUAAUUGGAGUUGUAAUAUCCAUGCUCUUAUAUAUAUGUAAUUGACUGUAGUCUACAAUAGUGGGAUUGAUACCAGGCUCAUAUUUGUAAAUCAUAAAUUUGAUUAUGUAUUUUAUUUAAAUGAAAUCAAAAUGUUAAGUUCUAAGUUCAAAUUCCAAAAUCAUAAUAUGUCUUUCCUUAUAUAUUUUAACUUGUUGAUAAUUUAUUUAACUUAUUUGAAUGAUUUAUAGAUAAAUUCAGAGGCAAAUAUAUGUAAAUCAAAAUAAUUACUUCUAUUGAAUUUGAAUACUGUAUGUUAACAUGCUAUGCUUAAUAAAAACAUAUUUUUUGUUAUGAAUUUAAUAUGA